AGAGUUUGAUCAUGGCUCAGAUUGAACGCUGGCGGCAGGCCUAACACAUGCAAGUCGAGCGGUAGAGAGAAGCUUGCUUCUCUUGAGAGCGGCGGACGGGUGAGUAAUGCCUAGGAAUCUGCCUGGUAGUGGGGGGUAACGUUCGGAAACGGACGCUAAUACCGCAUACGUCCUACGGGAGAAAGCAGGGGACCUUCGGGCCUUGCGCUAUCAGAUGAGCCUAGGUCGGAUUAGCUAGUUGGUGAGGUAAUGGCUCACCAAGGCGACGAUCCGUAACUGGUCUGAGAGGAUGAUCAGUCACACUGGAACUGAGACACGGUCCAGACUCCUACGGGAGGCAGCAGUGGGGAAUAUUGGACAAUGGGCGAAAGCCUGAUCCAGCCAUGCCGCGUGUGUGAAGAAGGUCUUCGGAUUGUAAAGCACUUUAAGUUGGGAGGAAGGGUUGUAGAUUAAUACUCUGCAAUUUUGACGUUACCGACAGAAUAAGCACCGGCUAACUCUGUGCCAGCAGCCGCGGUAAUACAGAGGGUGCAAGCGUUAAUCGGAAUUACUGGGCGUAAAGCGCGCGUAGGUGGUUUGUUAAGUUGGAUGUGAAAUCCCCGGGCUCAACCUGGGAACUGCAUUCAAAACUGACUGACUAGAGUAUGGUAGAGGGUGGUGGAAUUUCCUGUGUAGCGGUGAAAUGCGUAGAUAUAGGAAGGAACACCAGUGGCGAAGGCGACCACCUGGACUAAUACUGACACUGAGGUGCGAAAGCGUGGGGAGCAAACAGGAUUAGAUACCCUGGUAGUCC
rnacentral:rRNA from 1 species